GUCAUUCUAGUCAUUGCUAUACAGUCUCAACUGAUAAAACCAAUCACCAAGCCACGUGCAUUCUCCGAGGUGAUGGAACUGAUCACCGAGCCACGUGCAUUCUCCAAGGUAAUAUAUUAAUUUAUCGAGCCACGUGCAUUCUCCGAGGUGAUGUAGAACCUACAUUGAUCCACUAUACAAAAUGUCCAUUCUCCAAGAUGACGUACUUGGUCAUCGAGCCAGCAUACCUCUCACAUAUUCCCUUUCAUUUCCACAAUUU
rnacentral:lncRNA from 1 species